GGAAGUAUAAGUCGUAACAAGGUUUCCGUAGGUGAACCUGCGGAAGGAUCAUUCAUAAUAAGUGUUUUAUGGCACUUUUUUAAAUCCAUAUCCACCUUGCGUGCAAUGUCAGGGUUGAUUUUUCUCUCAAGAGGAUCAGCCCCAAACAUCAACUAUAUCUCAACUCUUUGUCUGAAAAAUAUUAUGAAUAAAACAAUUCAAAAUACAACUUUCAACAACGGAUCUCUUGGCUCUC
rnacentral:misc_RNA from 1 species